UAGCCGUAAACGAUACUCGCUAGGUGUCGGCCACGGUGCGACCGUUGUCGGUGCCGUAGGGAAGCCGUGAAGCGAGCCACCUGGGAAGUACGGCCGCAAGGCUGAAACUUAAAGGAAUUGGCGGGGGAGGCACCACAACGGGUGGAGCCUGCGGGUUUAAUUUGGACUCAACGCCGGGAAGCUCACCGGAUAAGACAGCGGAAUGAUUGCCGGGCUGAAGACCCUGCAUGACCAGCUGAGAGGUGGUGCAUGGCGUAGUCGUGU
rnacentral:rRNA from 1 species